UACGGAGGAUCCGAGCGUUAUCCGGAUUUAUUGGGUUUAAAGGGAGCGUAGGUGGAUUGUUAAGUCAGUUGUGAAAGUUUGCGGCUCAACCGUAAAAUUGCAGUUGAAACUGGCAGUCUUGAGUACAGUAGAGGUGGGCGGAAUUCGUGGUGUAGCGGUGAAAUGCUUAGAUAUCACGAAGAACUCCGAUUGCGAAGGCAGCUCACUGGACUGGUAACUGACACUGAGGCUCGAAAGUGU
rnacentral:rRNA from 1 species